rnacentral:misc_RNA from 1 species
GAAAUUCGAUAAGUAAUGUGAAUUGCAGAAUUCAGUGAAUCAUCGAAUCUUUGAACGCACCUUGCGCUCCUUGGUAUUCCUUGGAGCAUGCCUGUUUGAGUAUCAUGAAAUCUUCAAAGUAAAUCUUUUGUUAACUCAAUUGGUUUCUACUUUGGUAUUGGAGGUCUUUGCAGCUUCACACCUGCUCCUCUUUGUUCAUUAGCUGGAUCUCAGUGUUAUGCUUGGUUCCACUCGGCGUGAUAAGUUAUCUAUCGCUGAGGACACUGUAAAAGGUGGCCAAGGUAAAUGCAGAUGAACCGCUUCUAAUAGUCCAUUGACUUGGACAAUACUUUUAUGAUCUGAUCUCAAAUCAGGUAGGACUACCCGCUGAACUUAAGC